rnacentral:rRNA from 2 species
ACUUAAAUUGAAGAGUUUGAUCAUGGCUCAGAUUGAACGCUGGCGGCAGGCCUAACACAUGCAAGUCGAGCGGUAGCACAGAGAGCUUGCUCUCGGGUGACGAGCGGCGGACGGGUGAGUAAUGUCUGGGAA